rnacentral:rRNA from 1 species
UACGGGGGGGGCAAGCGUUGUUCGGAAUUACUGGGCGUAAAGGGCUCGUAGGCGGCCAACUAAGUCAGACGUGAAAUCCCUCGGCUUAACCGGGGAACUGCGUCUGAUACUGGAUGGCUUGAAUCCGGGAGAGGGAUGCGGAAUUCCAGGUGUAGCGGUGAAAUGCGUAGAUAUCAGGAAGAACACCCGUGGCGAAGGCGGUUCUCUGGGACGGUACUGACGCUGAGACGCGAAAGCGUGGGGAGCGAACAGG